rnacentral:pre_miRNA from 1 species
GAAAUCAAGCUUGGGUGAGGCCUAUGACGUACAAAACAGGCGACCCAUACUUGGUUUCCG